GACGAACGCUGGCGGCGUGCUUAACACAUGCAAGUCGAACGCUGAAGCUUGGUGCUUGCACUGGGUGGAUGAGUGGCGAACGGGUGAGUAAUACGUGAGUAACCUGCCCUUGACUCUGGGAUAAGCCUGGGAAACUGGGUCUAAUACUGGAUAUGACAUGCCACUGCAUGGUGGUGUGUGGAAAGGGUUUUACUGGUUUUGGAUGGGCUCACGGCCUAUCAGCUUGUUGGUGGGGUAAUGGCCUACCAAGGCGACGACGGGUAGCCGGCCUGAGAGGGUGGGGGGCCAGACGGGGCGAGAGACACGGCAGAGGCGCCGCCGUGAGGCAGCCGCGGGGCGUAGGGGACAACGGGCGGCGGCCUGAAGCCGCGACGCCGCGUGAGGGAGGAGGGCGUGCGGGUGGGAGAAAUCGUUCAGCCCGCAAGCAGCGAGAGUGCCGGUACGGGCAGAAGGAGCGCCGGCGAACUACGC
rnacentral:rRNA from 1 species